GAUGAACGCUAGCGGCAGGCCUAAUACAUGCAAGUCGAGGGGCAGCAGGGAUAGCAAUAUUCGCUGGCGACCGGCGCACGGGUGCGUAACACGUAUACAAUCUGCCUUUAACAGGGGGAUAGCCCGGAGAAAUCCGGAUUAAUACCCCAUAAUAGAUUGACUGGCAUCAGUUGAUCUUGAAAGCUCCGGCGGUUAGAGAUGAGUAUGCGUCUGAUUAGCUAGUUGGUGAGGUAACGGCUCACCAAGGCGACGAUCAGUAGGGGAUCUGAGAGGAUUAACCCCCCACACGGAUACUGAGACACGGAUCCGACUCCUACGGGAGGCAGCAGUAAGGAAUAUUGGACAAUGCCCGCAAGGGUGAUCCAGCCAUGCCGCGUGCAGGAAGACGGCCCUAUGGGUUGUAAACUGCUUUUACACCGGAGAAAACCCCCCUACGUGUAGGGGGCUGAUAGUAUGGUGAGAAUAAGCAUCGGCUAACUUCGUGCCAGCAGCCGCGGUAA
rnacentral:rRNA from 1 species